rnacentral:misc_RNA from 1 species
GUAAUAACGUCAAGUUUCCAGUAGCAGUCUUUAUCCACAUCUAAUUCAACAUGUGUAAUGGUUGAGUCACUCAUUCCACCAAUAAAGGGUUUUUUGAAGUUUAAGCGUAAUGCCACCUGGCUACCGUCAGUUUUUACUUCAAAUGGUUGCAUCUCCAGGGGAUCUAUACGAGGGAUGUUUAGAUUUUUGUCUCCAUCUCUGAAAUAAUACAAUCCACUCGUUAACCCUGCCUCUAAGCAUUUUUGGAAGUCUGGACUGGAUCUAUGACAUAGUUUGAUACCCUCGC